rnacentral:rRNA from 1 species
CCACCAAAAAAACUUUCACGUGACCGUUUGUGCGUUUGUGCUUGUGUUGCUUUGUUGUCUCGCUCUUCGGRGUGUGGUGAAGAAGAGGAAGCGCAAGGCUAAACGAAGGCUGCGAGUCUCGUGCUUGCGGCCGAUUUAUUCUUUCAAACCCAUACAUUAAACACUGAACUAUACUGUGAGGACGAAAGUCCUUGCUUUAAACUAGAUAGCAACUUUCAGCAGUGGAUGUCUAGGCUCGCACAUCGAUGAAGAACGCUGCGAACUGCGAUACGUAAUGCGAAUUGCAGGAUUCAGUGAGUCAUCGAAAUUUUGAACGCAUAUUGCACUUUCGGGUUAUGCCUGGAAGUAUGUCUGUAUCAGUGUCCGUACCUCAACCUUGCCUUUCUUUUCCUGUGUAGUCAGGAGAGGAAAUGUGCAGACGUGAAGUGUCUCGCCUGUUGGUUUAGCGGCUUCGGUUUCUAAGUACGACUGGGCGAGUCCUUUUAAACGGACACGAUCUUUCUGUUGUUUUCUACGGAGUGUGGCGCUCGAAAAGCGGCGGUUUCUUACGGGAUCGCUCGCAGUCGGACGGCGACUUUGGCGAAUACAUAUAGGAAGCAGACUCGACUCGCGGUACGUUAGGCGUGCUGUUUUGUGUGUGGAUUUUGUAAUGAAAUCUCGCGCAUUGCGGCUUGCUGAACAAUGUUGCGUGUUGUGGUCUGUUUUCCUGUGUUCGCUUCGAGGUGUACUGUCUAAUGGCUGUGAGUUUGAACCUGUGGAUAUCAUGCUGUCGUUCGGUAGAGUGCUGCGUUAUACUCUCUGUGGGAAUACCACGAUGCUUUCGAGUGUUUUGGUAAAACAAAAGACGCAAUUUGGGAAAAAUUGUGUGUACUCGCGUGUACAGCGCGUGUAUAACAUCUCAAUUGGACCUGAUAUCAGACAAGACUACCCGCU